rnacentral:rRNA from 1 species
GCCCAUUUGAGGGGGAUACCAGUUGGAAACGACUGUUAAUACCGCAUAAUAUCUGUGGAUUAAAGGUGGCUUUUGGGCUGUCGCAGAUGGAUGAGCCUGCGUUGGAUUAGCUAGUUGGUGGGGUAAGGGCCUACCAAGGCUACGAUCCAUAGCUGAUUUGAGAGGAUGAUCAGCCACAUUGGGACUGAGACACGGCCCAAACUCCUACGGGAGGCAGCAGUGAGGAAUAUUGGACAAUGGGGGCAACCCUGAUCCAGCAAUGCCAUGUGUGUGAAGAAGGCCUUAGGGUUGUAAAGCACUUUAGUUGGGGAAGAAAGCUUUGAGGUUAAUAGCCUUGAGGAAGGACGUUACCCAAAGAAUAAGCACCGGCUAACUCCGUGCCAGCAGCCGCGGUAAUACGGGGGGUGCAAGCGUUAAUCGGAAUUACUGGGCGUAAAGAGUCUGUAGGUGGUUUGUUAAGUCAGAUGUGAAAGCCCAGGGCUCAACCUUGGAACUGCAUUUGAUACUGGCAAACUAGAGUACGGUAGAGGAAUGGGGAAUUUCUGGUGUAGCGGUGAAAUGCGUAGAGAUCAGAAGGAACACCAAUGGCGAAGGCAACAUUCUGGACCGAUACUGACACUGAGGGACGAAAGCGUGGGGAUCAAACAGGAUUAGAUACCCUGGUAGUCCACGCUGUAAACGAUGAGUACUAGCUGUUGGAGUCGGUGUAAAGGCUCUAGUGGCGCAGCUAACGCGAUAAGUACUCCGCCUGGGGACUACGGCCGCAAGGCUAAAACUCAAAGGAAUUGACGGGGACCCGCACAAGCGGUGGAGCAUGUGGUUUAAUUCGAUGCAACGCGAAGAACCUUACCUGGUCUUGACAUCCUGCGAACUUUCUAGAGAUAGAUUGGUGCCUUCGGGAACGCAGUGACAGGUGCUGCACGGCUGUCGUCAGCUCGUGUUGUGAAAUGUUGGGUUAAGUCCCGCAACGAGCGCAACCCCUAUUGAUAGUUACCAUCAUUAAGUUGGGUACUCUAUUGAGACUGCCGCUGACAAGGCGGAGGAAGGUGGGGACGACGUCAAGUCAUCAUGGCCCUUACGACCAGGGCUACACACGUGCUACAAUGGGUAUUACAGAGGGCUGCGAAGGUGCGAGCUGGAGCGAAACUCAAAAAGGUACUCUUAGUCC